GACGAACGCUGGCGGCGUGCUUAACACAUGCAAGUCGAACGGAAAGGCCCUGCUUUUGUGGGGUGCUCGAGUGGCGAACGGGUGAGUAACACGUGAGCAACCUGCCCUUGACUUUGGGAUAACUUCAGGAAACUGGGGCUAAUACCGGAUAGGAGCUCCUGCUGCAUGGUGGGGGUUGGAGAGUUUCGGCGGUUGGGGAUGGACUCGCGGCUUAUCAGCUUGUUGGUGGGGUAGUGGCUUACCAAGGCUUUGACGGGUAGCCGGCCUGAGAGGGUGACCGGCCACAUUGGGACUGAGAUACGGCCCAGACUCCUACGGGAGGCAGCAGUGGGGAAUAUUGCACAAUGGGCGGAAGCCUGAUGCAGCAACGCCGCGUGCGGGAUGACGGCCUUCGGGUUGUAAACCGCUUUCGCCUGUGACGAAGCGUGAGUGACGGUAAUGGGUAAAGAAGCACCGGCUAACUACGUG
rnacentral:rRNA from 1 species